CUGGCACCAGAAUUAGGCUCCCCAGUCCUUUUUGAGGUCCUGAACGUUCGGUCUCCGGGUGUGCAUUCAAUAAACUAUUCUUGCAUAACUAAGAUUCGCGAUCAUACGGUUGGCAUGGCGAUUCCUGAACCCCAGCGGACAGGAGCGAAAAGUCCAGGAAGAGCCAAGUGUGAAGAGCGGGGCUGAAGGCUAGAUGGAGGUCAUGCAUAGGAUGCAGAGACCAACACCAGCACCAGAGCAUGAAGGCCAUGCUUUUUUUUUUUUCUGCUAUCAGCCCCUCCCGAUGAAUAAAAGAAUCAGAAGCCACUGCAGACUCUGGAAUUGAACAAAGGGAGACAAAGGCACAGAAAACUUCGGAUCAGUCUUCCUCACGGAAGAUCCAUCAGAAGGCAUCAAUGCACACGAAAGAAAACAUCGCUACUGUGCCCCCUUCUCCUCCUGCUACUUUCUGCAAGUUCAGGAGGAAGAUCAAGGUUAGUUAAAAUGCUGGAAGACAGUAGCUUUCAAGAGGAGGUGUGGCCCGACGUAAGACUUUGAAGUCUUUUUAAUAACUGAGAAGCAGAAGAGAACACUAUCUUCUGAUAUUAGGAAAUUAUAUGCUUUGUAUUUUAGGGCUGUCAUCAAAAGAAAAAUAGAAUGUAAAAAUUUCAGUGUAUCUGAGAAAGAAGUAUGAAGUAAUUUAUUUAAACGAAUUAGUCCAACUUUCUAAUCCAAGUGUACAAUAGAGAGCUUCGAGUAACUACUACAUCCCAGGACGUGGGAGCCCCCAGGGUAUCGCCUCACCCUGGCAUUUCAAGUCUCUGCAAGGCUAGGCGCUUCCUUUCCCACUGAGGCCACACAAGGCAGCCCAGCUAGAAGAACAGACAGGCAACAGCUUUUGGGGCAGCCCCUGCUCCAGUUGCUCAAGACCCGCACGAAGGCCAAGCUGCACAUCUGCAUAGGUGCGGGGAGGCCCAGGUCCAGCCCGUGUAUGUUGUUUGGUUGGUGGUUCAGACAGGAGAGCCCAAGGGUCCAGACUUAACAGUGAGAGGCCAGAACACUGAGGAGGACUCCACUAGACACUUCUUGAAGCACAUACCUGGAAUGGAAGAAUCCUUCGAGUCACUUCUAAAGCUCUUUGCUUGAGACUCAUAUUCCAAAUAUUGUUCUCUGUGACUUCGUUGUGGGAGAGACGUUGACUAGACAGGAGGUUGCUGGUCUCAUCAGCUUGAUGCUUUGAAGAAAUGUUCCCUCAACAAUAAUAAGGGAAAUUCUCCGAAUGUCCCUCUCCCAGAAUGCCUCUUUUGAUAAUUACCUCUGCAGAUAAUAUGUACGUGGCGACUCUAAGCAUGGUUUGCAGCAAGGAACUGGCAGGACGGCUGCUGGUGUGACGUCAGCAGCUGGAGCGGGACCUACCAGCCCCUACGGUGCAGCUGAGGAUCUCAGUGUUGACAUUGACCAGGGCUUUUGCAAACAAGCCAGGCCAGAAAGGUUCAACAUUGGCCUCGGUUGCUUUAAUGAGGGCAUUGAUCUCCUCCUCUGGGCAUGGUGAGGGCGGAAUAGAUGCCCACGAGUUUGGACAGGGAGCUCAGCAUGCUGACUGGACUGCUGUGAGAGUUCUUGUUGAAGGAUGAAUGAGGGCUUCACCCCAGCGCAGCCUUAGCUUCCUCAGAGUGCAGAGUGCCCAAGCACGUUGGUGGCAGCUGAGGGAAGCCAUUUUUUCUUAUUUCCAUGUCUAGGUCCUUGUUUGAUGCCAAUGGAGGGAAAGUUGAGAAAGCAUAGUUUUCAUUCUGAGCUAUGUCUGCAGCAUUGAGAUUAGUCAGUACUGUUUUUUUUUUUUUUUUAAAUCUCCUUUAUAAAUGUGGUGCUCUUGUGAUGAAAUGUAUACAGCCUGGUCCCUAACACUUCAUUCAUUUGCUCAUUUGGCCCGGAUAAUACACCUACCUGUUGUGCUUUUCUUUGCUCACAGAUGCAAUAUAGCCUUCCACCUCAGAAUCAAAAUAAAUGACUUUUAAAUGAGUGUUGUAAAAAGUAAGUUGACCGGUGGUAUGGAGCUAGGGAGGAGUAUGCAAGCAGGGUGAUAUGAACACUAGAGGAUGGUGAGGGAUGUCUUAGGAAGAGAGUGACCCCCUGUUUGGGAUGGUGGGGAAGGCCACUGAGGCUGGAGUGUGGUUGUCACAAUGAGGUCAGGGUGGCAGCAACACCCAAGGGGAUGGAGAACAAAAGCUCGUUGUCUAGAUGGCGGAAUGGAGACUUCAUCCAACAAGCAAUGCAAAGCCCGAGAGAUCGCAUCAGACGAUUGGUUUCACGGUCUGGCGUGGCUUUGACAUGGAGAGUAUUCGAGCUACAGUAGUUAGCGGUUGGCUGAGAUCUGACCACAGGCAUUCUGUACCAGUGCCCAGAACGUCUGCCUGGUGCUGCGUUCUGGUGUCUUGCAGCUAUACCUGGUGUUUCUUCUCUCUGUGGUCAUUUCCAUUUUUCCUGAAGUGUCUACUCUUCAGCUUGCAAAUUCUUUUAUUUUUUUUUAAAUUUAAUUAAUUACAUCCCAAAUGUUGCCCCCUCCUGGUCUCCCCUUGAAAAGUUCCUCCUUCAUCCCUCCUCCCCUUCGACUCUGAGAGGGCAGCCCCCUGCCUCCGCCUGCAUCAAGUCUCUGUAGGUUUAGACAUAUCCUCUCCCACCAAGGCCUGAUAUGGCCUCCCUCUGCUACAUAUGUGUUGGGGGGUCUCGGAGCAGCCCAUCUGUACUCUUCAGUUGAUUGUUCAGUCUCUCGGAGUUCCAGGGGUCCAGGUAAGUUGUCACGUUGGUCUUCCUGUGUGGUUACCAUCUCCUUGAGGGCCUUGACUCCUUUCCCUAACUCUUCCACAGGGGUCCCGGUGGCUAUCUGUGUCUGUCUCAGUCAGCUGAUAGGUAAAGCCUCUCAGAGGGCUGCUAUGGGAGGCUCCCGUCUCUGCCUGCUGUCCCAGGCAAACCAGUUGGGGGUGCGGGUGGAUCCAACUAGGAUGGGUAGUUGGACGGGGUUCUAAACUGGUUAGUUUUGGGGCCCCUGUAGGUUUCUGUGGGGUAGCAGAAUGCUCUUGGUGUUCCACAGGCUCCUCCAGACCAGAGAGCCAGGCCACAGCUAGACAAUCUAAAUUCAUCUGCUGUAUACGUGUUGGGGGCCUCAUAUCAGCUGGUAUAUGCUGCCUGGUUGGUGUGGCUUAGUGUUCGAGAGAUCUUAGGGGUCCAGGUUAAUUGAGACUGCUGGUCCUCCUACAUGGUCGCCCUCCUCCUCCUUAGCUUCUUCCAGCUUUUCCCUAAUUCAACCACAGGGGUCAGCAGCUUCUGUUCAUUGGUGGGUGUAAAUAUCUGCUUCUGACUCUGUCAGCUGCUUGUUGGGUCUUUCGGAGGGCAGUCAUGAGAGGUCCCUUUCUUUUGUGAGUGCUCUGUAGCCUCAGUAAUGGUGUCAGGUCUUGGGGCUGCCCCGUGAACUGGAUCCCACUUUGGGCCUGUCGCUGGACUACCUUUCCCUCAGGCUCUUCUCCAUUUUUUGUCCCUGCAGUUCUUUCAGACAGGAACAAUUCUGGGUCAGAGUUUUGACUGUGGGAUAGCAACCCCAUCCCUCACUUGAUGCCCUGUCUUUCUGCCAGAGGUGGGCUCUCCAAGUUCUCUCUCCCCGCGGUAGGGUAUUUCAUCUAAGAGCCCUCCCUUUGAGUCCUAAAAGUCCCUCACCUCCCAGGUCUUUGGUACAUUCUAAAGGGUUCCUCCACCUCCUACCUCCCAAGGUUGCCCUUUUCACUCUUUCUGCAGGCCCUCAGGGCUUCAGUCCUGUCAAAUUCCUCUUUUGUACACACACUUAGAUGUCUUUUCCUAUUGAAAUAGGGUGACUAAGGUUUAUUAUUCUCACAGCGAUUUGUGAGCACGGAGAGAGUGCCAUUAAAGACUAUACUUGAUAAAGACCUUUCCAACCGAAAUAGGAUACGGCCAACAGUUUUCUACUUGCUUGCACUGGUAGGCUAGAAGCAUUUUACAUCAUUUUUAAAAAUUCCUCCUUUUGGGUACAGUAUGCUUAGUGCUUAAGGCCACAGUCCCUAAGUCAGGCCAGUAAGGUGUAAAUGGUAGCUCUGGCCCUUGCUCUGAGCUGUGUGACUGAAGUCAAGUCAUAUAAACUCUCCAAGUCACAUGUCCUCUCGUGUACAGUGAGAGUAAUGAUUUGCUGUUUGUGGAAAAGUGGGGGGAUCGUAUAUACAGAGAGCCUAGCACCAAGAUGGGCUUGCAGUCCAUGUCCACUAAAUAUUGACUGUAACGCCCUGUCACACACACUCUAGCCAACUUCCUCUCCUGUUGAAGCUUGGAUUCUGAUAGGGCAGGAAGCAUGGCUACUUAUUCACCUUUAUGGCUUUCGUUUACAGCUCAGUGUCUAGGAAGCCAUAAAUUCUAAAAGCAACCAAAGACGCAGGGAAAAAAAUGACAGGUGCCUUAGACAUAAAAGUUCCUUUCUAUUUCCCCUUCACAUAUGAGAGAAGAAAGCAUGUGUCUAUUUCUUGAGUUACGCUGAGGGGAAAAAAAAAAAACAGAAUCCAGUUCACACCACAGUUUUCCUGCCAUGCAAAAUCCCUCCCUUAUUCUUGGUGGAAACAAAAAGAGGAUGGUGACACCCUGGUGACCGAGGGCGGAGCUUCCCAAACGGAAACGAUUGCAAACGUUUAUUCAGUCCACAAACAUUUGGAUCUUGUGGGAUAAAAUUAAAAAGUAAUGUUUUCUUAUUUGUUAGUUCUGUCUUGCUUAUAACAAACUUAAAAUCCCAGACUUCCGCAGGGCUAAGAAUUAAAAUUUAUUAAAAGAAUUAUUCAAGUGUGGUUAAUAAUUGGCAUUUAUCAAACCAAAUUAAUCCAGAAGGCCUAACUAGCCACUCUUUAAACCCAAGCCAUUUAAAGUAUUUUGUAGGGGGAAUAUCAUAAACAUAAAGGGACUGUGUGAACAUGGCUGUAUGCUAAAGUACGAACCAUGGGCUUGGCAUUAUGGUCAGCCAGAUGUUAAAAGCAUGGAGGGACCAACAGGUCUUCCUACCUCACAUUUUAGUUUAACACACACAAAUAGCUAUUUCACUCACAAGUGGACCUCACAAUUUGGACUUUUGGACAGUGACUUUAGUUAAAUUCUUCAUUCGAUGUUUGGACACCAUCAAUCCUUGUAGGUUGCUGACGAGCCGUGGUUAGAAAUAAGAGUUGUGGUUGACAUUAGAGUUUUAACAGUAGGAGAACAGGCGCCUCAUAACCAAAAGGUAAACAUUUGGUUCUACUCCACGUGUGUCACCGAGUAGGUUAUUGUUAGUGACGUCAUGCUCUAAUACUCAGCUGUACUCCAUGUGUGUCACUGAGUAGGUUAUUGUUAGUGAGGUCAUGCUCUAAUACUCAGCUGUACUCCAUGUGUGUCACUGAAUAGGUUAUUGUUAGUGACGUCAUGCUCUAAUACUCAGCUCUACUCUAUGUGGGUCACCGAGUAGGUUAUUGUUAGUGAUGUCAUGCUCUGAUACUUAGCUCUACUCCAUGUGCGUCACUGAGUAAGUUAUUGUUAGUGACGUCAUGCUCUAAUACUUAGAAAACACACUUGGCAUAGAAGGUUGGCCUUACAAGGAAGGGAUACGAGUGACCCCAUUGCUUAAAUCUUCCUUAUUUCUGCCCCACCUGUUGUCUCACAAGUGAAGUGUAGAUGCUUACCAAACAUUUAUAUUGUAUUUAAUAUUAUCUUAUUGAUGGGCAACAUCCCUUGGCAGCCCCUAUGCUUCUCAGAGAAAACACCAGUCUCACCCCGUGCUCACUUCACCCUUGGCAUGUGCUCACUUCUCUCAGCUGUGAUUGGAUGGGUGGGGAAAGCAUGUCUUUCGAGGACAGAAGAGCCAUGUGGCACUCAGGACAUGGUGACACAUUCUUCCUUCAGUCCUUUGGGGAUUCCGUUCUGCUCUCAGGAGUUUCAAAAGUGUCUGGGAGAAACAUACUCCAUUCCUAUGGAUGUUACCUCAGCCUCUGAAGAGGGACUUCUAGGAGGAAGUAGAAGGAAAAAAAAUCCAAAACGUGAAUGGCAAGAAGCCAUUUGAAACCUUCUGGAUUUUUCUCUAGUACUAACAGGUGACCUCUUACAAAACACUUCAUUCUCAUAAAACGUUAUUACUGAUGAAUUUGAAAUUCGAGUCAAGUCUACCUAAAAACUAAAGACCAAGAAAUUAGGAAAACAAUUCAAUUUCACCGUUUACGAGACCAUUACAUUAUGGAAAUGAAUUGACUUAAAAUAACCCCACGCUAAAUCUGAUGAUAGACCAUUUGAUUCGAAUCUUACAUUGUAAUUAAAGUAAAGUCAAGAUGAAUUGUAAAUUAUCUUAUAUACUGCAAUUUUGGUGUAUGAACAUGUAUACACAUGCUAUGUAGAUAAAUUAUUACAUAUGCACGCGUGUUAGUGUUUCCCAUAUGGUGUUUAACUUGUAGAUUGAUAUAUCCACCUCUAAAGAGAGAAGAAAAACAAAACCAAUAGAGUUGGUAAACAUGUACAAUGACGUAAAAGGUAGUUUUAUGUUUAGAAAAGGAUGUGUUUUGAUAGUCAGGGCCAUUCUUUAAAGCUGGUCUGUGACGCGAUUUCUAACUCGCAAAGGCUCGCUGAGUGGGUCCUUACAAAGACUGCAUUCCCCAUGCUGUGAAAAGUAGGUCUAAUUGCUUUAGCUUUAGGAAAGACUGUUACAAAUAACCCAGAAGCAUUUCAGAUUGAGAUGUCUUGAGUAGUCACUGUUGCUAAUUUAGCUUGGAAUUUACUAGGUCUUCCUGAUAAUUCUAGAGUUUAUGUUUUUGUACAAUUAGUAGGACAUGAUUCUGCCCACAGCAUUCCACAUAUGCUAUUCAAAUUUGUUUACUAUAUCUAACAUAAAAUAUGUUCUAUGUCAGUAGGAAGAGUCAAUAGGUUUCUUCUUAAGAAUCUAAGGUUUAAAGAGGAAAGGGUGCUAGGGAGCUGGCUCAGCACCCAGGAGCACUGGCCGCUCAUCCAGAGGACUCAGGGUUCACUCCCAGCACCCAUGGUGGCUCCUAACUAAGUUUAGUUUCCAGGGAUCCGAUGAUCUCUUGUGGCCCUGUGAGCAUGUAGCAUGCACGUAGUGCACAGACAUUAUGCAGACAAAACACCCACACGCAUAGACUUCAAAGAAACAAACAGUAUAUUAGAUGAUGACUUGAGAGAUCAAAUACACACAGAGAGGAAAUAAUUCCAUGUUAAAACAAACCUGAUUUGUUUUUCCUUAGCUAUAUGUUCUCAGCCUUCCAUCAAAUCAGGUUAUUCAAUAAUUGUUCCUUAACUGUCGUGCACCCUUAAUGCUCACACUGCUAAUUGUAAUCUUCAACAACAUUAGUUGAUUACGUAGUGUAUAGAUUACCGUGGUAGAGGGAGUUACUUGUUUGAAAUGAUUAGUAGUUUGUUUAGCACAGGCUCUGCUGUAUGGAUACGUGGGCGGGGCUUAAUGUCUUACUGACAAAGGUUAUGACAUAUUUAGAGAGAAAGGUUGGUUCGGUUACAGCAAGGCUAUCUUUAGCAAGGGGAACUUUGGAACAAUAUCCAUGCUUUACGACAGCUCUCCAGAAAGGUUUAUUGGUUCCUUCCUUCUUUCUUUGCCCCCUCCCUUUUUCCUUCUUCUUUUCCUUCCUUUCUUCUUUUCUUCCUUCCUUCCUUCCCUCCCUCCUACCCCCUCUCUCUCUUUCUCUCUUGCUUGCUUCAUCUUGAGAUGGUCUCACUAUGUAUUCGUGGAUAGUUUGGAUUUUAUUGUGUGGACCAUGCUGGCCUCAAAGUCAGAGACUCAUCUGCCUCUGCCUUCCAGAGUGCUGGUAUCAAAGGAACGCCACCACGUCUGACAUAUGUUUUAUUUUUUUCUAAAACUUUUCAAUUUAUCUUUUGAGUAUCUACUGUGGGCCGUAUGCACUUAAGCAAAGCUAAAUAAAAUAGGGUUCUUAGGUAGAACGCUCAUUUUACUGCUUUUCUUCCAUUGAAUAACUCAUGCCCUACAGUAUGACUGAGUCUAUCCUUCUCCCCAGGACGUGAGGGCGUCAUAGGAUGAGGCUCUCACAACUGCCGACAACAGGUGCACAGAGAAAGGGCAGCAAGCGCAGAACAUGGGAGUGGGCAUCAGGUCUUGCCUUGAGCUUUCUGAAAAAUCUAGAGGCAUUUCACGGGGCCUGUUUUACUCUUGAGGGGGCUCUUCAGAUCCGUGAGUGAUAUUAUACACAGCGUUCCAAUCUCCUCAGUUUGAUUCCAUCAGAAAAGGCAGGUUGUGGUCCUCACUGAGUUGGACUGAUUUAACCAGAACUUAGGCUGUAGCUUUCAAUGCCUUGUGCAAGGGGAUAGUUUGAAUUCUAGACAGGAAAGCUGAAAAAGACACAUUUGGGACAUGAUCCUUAUUUGUGGCCAUUAAAAAAACCCGUGUUCUAAAAACUGUAUUUUCCAGUGUGAGCUCUCAUGGCUAAUUUGUAAGUUAAAUAUAAUUAGAUGGAUAUAUGCAUUUGUGCAUACAUAUAUAUUCCUAAAUAUAACCUAUCGGUUCCAUGCGAUGUUACAUGUAUGUGUGUUUUCAGGGCUGAUCAUAACAACUGAGGAAAGUAGAGGCUGUGAAUUUGAAGGAGACGGGGAAGGGGACACGUGAGGGCUUAGAGUGAAGGAAGGGAAGGGAAAUGUCAUAAUUCAAAUAUGGCUUCAAAAAUAAUAAUUAAAUGCAAAUUAAUGAUAUCAGCUAUCAAAAAAGAAUCAGCCAUAAUACUCGAGUUACUUAGUUAAUUUGAUAUGUCGGGGUCUUUUCUUUUAUAACGGACCCAUAAAUGUUCUAUAAAAACCUCUAGAAAUUAUCAUACUAAAAACCACACUGAUAAAAAUGGGCGUGCGGGUGCUUGCUGGUUAUGUCAGCCAUGGGAAAAUGGAGGCAGGAGGGUCAGUAGUUCAUGGCCACCCUUGACUACAUGGAGAGUUAGAGGCUAAUUUGGGUUCCAUGAGACCCUACCUCAAAAAAAAAUUAUCAGUAGCAAAAUUUUGUUUUCUUAAGAGAUUGGCCAAAAUAAAUGUACAAAGGAAAAUGAAAAUUAAAAAAAAAUACAUAGACGAUACCAGGUUUUCUUAGAGGAUUGAAGAAGAGAUUAAGAGAGUGGUUGUGCGUUGGGGAUUUAGCUCAGUGGUAGAGCGCUUGCCUAGCAAGCGAAAGGCCCUGAGUUCGGUCCCCAGCUCCGAAAAAAAGAAAAGAAAAAAAAAAAAGAGAGUGGUUGGGCAGUGCCAUCUUAGGUUCUUUCUGUGUCUGUCUGUCUGUGUCUGCCUCUGUCUCUGUGUCUCUGUCUCUUUGGUGAACCAAUGACUUUUGUUGGUGUUACACAAAUAACUCAAGGACAGCUGCAUCACCAUCCUAGCAGAGGAAGCCAUUCAUGACUGUGGGGUGAGAGGGAAAAAAAAGCAACGAAUGAUUUCAUGCCUGGUUGCAAUAAUUUUCCACAUGUCUUUCUUUCAGUUCCACGCAUGGAUAUAUCUAGCCCUCGAGAAUUUAUUUCCUGGGAGAAACUGUGGUGGCUGAUGAUGGCCUUGUGUAGGAAGCUUGCUCUAGGACAAGAUAUAACUACUUCUGGGCUGUCUCUAACAGCUGCCCGAAUAGGGGUCUAAGGAUGCUCUUGACUUUCAGUGUCAUCUGAAAGAGGGGAGAGUGUGUUCUCGGGCAGCUUUGGGCAUCAGUCCCUACUGUUAAAGGUGCCCAGACCUGUUGUGGGUUGCCCUGGUGCUGUUUGUACUCUUGAUGUUAAUUCUGUUUCCUUAAGAGGGGCUGCCCCUGGGGUUGGGGAUUUACCGCAACACCCAGUCUUUGUCAUCAAAUAACAAGAGCUUCAUCUCUCUUGGCUGAUUCUUCAAAGGGUGAUGAAGGAUGCGGAGAGCAUCCCACCAUCCUCUCACAGGGGGUCUCUGUGAAUUUAUAUCAACAAUGUUUAUUUGUCAAGAUCUGUAAUACCCAUGAGUGCAUCAAACCCUUGGAAUAGCUGCUAAAGACUGCAUUAGCCUGCGUCAGCUGCAGUAACAAAAUAUCAGAGUGGGUAGCUUAAACGUCAGAGUAUCUUCCCUCAUAGUUUGAAGGCUAGAAUCUUAGCUGGCAGGUCAUAACUGUCACUUUAUAGCAUUGAGAAAUGCCCAGGAGAUUAAUGAAACAAGUCCUGGGUGAGUCUGUGUUGAUGUUUUCAGAGUGAAUUAGAUCCUCCAGGGUCUGCCAUAAUGAAUGUAUUAACCAUUUGAUGAGGUUAUACUAUAAGGGAGAGGUCUGCCGUAAUGAAUGUAUUAAUCAUUCGAUGAGAUUAUGUGAGAAGGGAAUUGGUGCAAGGCAGGAGGUGGAACCAGAAGGAGGAAGUGUCAGUAGGGACAUGUCCUGGGGCAGCUGCAUUUGUCUGGUCCCUUCCUGUAUCCUCUCUGUUUCUUGACGUCAUUAUGCUAUGCCCAAACAUGAAGCCAGGUACCCAUGCACUGAGCUUUCAGAAACCAUUAGAAAAAAGGAAACACUCCCCCCUUUAAGUUGCUUAUACCUGGCGAUAAGAGGGGUGUAAAGUCUGAGGUGAGAGUGCUGGAGAAGCUGGCACCUGGUGAGGUAUUGGUCCUUGGCUGGAAGAUGGCUGCUUCUCACUGAAUCCUUAAAAGGCUUUUUAUUUUCACAUGUGCACCCACAGUGUCUCUCCCUCUUAUUAUUGGGACAUUCCUCCUGUGAGUUAGAGACUUACACUUAGGACAUUAUGUAACGUUAUUUCCUCCUCCUCCUCCACCCCCUCCUCCUCCUCCUCUUCCUCCUCUUCCUCCUCCCCCCCUCCUCCUCUUCCUCCUCCUCCUCCUCUCCUUCUUUUGACCAAAGAAGCUUCUUAUUGAAGUGGGUAGUGGUUAAUGCAGACACAUUACUGCUCUGUGCUCAGAAUAAGUGACUGAAAGUGCUUGGCUGUAAAUGAGACAGUAAUAUCACCACCACACAUUAAGAUCCAAAGCCCAGGAAGUACUGUGAAAGAGCAGCCAGAAAGAACAUGAGAGCUACAGGAUGGGAGGAGCUGCUGCAGGGUGGGCGGAGCUGCCGCAGGAUGGGCAGAGCUGCUGCAGCAUGGGAGGAGCUAGGGUUCUGUAGACAGACCUGAUCUAGCCAAGCCCUGAGCCCCAGGAUGCCCCAACAACAGGAGGUCAGCCUGGCCCAGGCCACAGCGGCCUCUAGGUCUUGGCCUCAGACAUCGCUACCGCCACCUUGGCUAGUCUAUUUACUUCUUUAAAGACCACAUCCUCAUAGGCAAAUAUGUAGACUGGAGUUUCACCGUGUGUCUUUCCUGUGACAGGGGUGCUGUUGGUGUGCCCUUGCACAGCAGAGAAAUCAUUUAGAAGAUCAUUCCGCUAGGUGAAGAUGAACUUUACAUCCGACGUUGUCUGAUUAAGAGUGUAUAUUCAGGACAACCGUGCUAUGCUGGCUUGAAAUAUACCGUGCUGCAUUUUUUCUUCUUCUUAUUGUUUUAAUUGUUGCUAUUCUUCUUUAUGAUGGCUGAAGUACCUCUAAGCAUCUGGUGUUAAGUUGCCCUUCACGUUUAGUUUUCAAGGUUACUUUGAAUUAUUUUGUCUCUCUCUCUUUUUUUAAUGUUUCCUGAACAUUUUACUUUGUGAAAUGGUGAGAAAAAUUACUUAGUAAUUACUAAGUGGUUUUGAGUCAGGUGGGCUAACUAACUGUGGGCAUUAACUGUAUUUCUGUAACGGCGACUGUCUCUCUAAUGGCUUUAAAUCCAUAUCUUUUCUUAUCAGACUAGAGAAGGAAUGUCUCCUCCAUAUCUGACUGCUAUUUCCUAUUGAUUGAAGUGGUUCUUUAUUGAAGAGAGCAGAGCAUUAGUGAUUCACAGUUCCCAUCUUUCCCUCACAGUUACCAAAGGCCCCAUCACAUAAUAAUACUGCUUUAUAGGUUUUUAUAGGAGAAAUCAAUUUUCCCUCAAAAGAAUUAUAAUCCUGUAAGGCACAGGCAAAAGCACACUGAAAUUUAAGCUGAUUUUUUUCCUGUGUAGCUUGUGUGUGUGUGCAUGUGUGUGUGUGUGUAUGUGAGUGUGCAUGUGUGUGUGUGAGUGUGUGAUUGACAAGAAGGAUUGUCUGUGAGCUGCUGAUAGUUUCUACUCCCGAAUAGGCAUGACCACUGACCGCAGGCUCCUGUCAAACACAUACUAUAAGGGUAGCAGGCACUUGCUGAAUGCAAAUGCCUAAAGUAAGGUUUAAAUGUUCAGAUUCAAUGUUACAGCUGUCUGCCCCAUGAACAACUUAACAUAAACCAAAGUUUUUAGCAUUGCUCUGGAGCCCUUACAUCGUCAGCUGUCCUCUCUCAACUGGAGUCGUGUUGCUUUGGAAAGCACAUACAGGAGGAAGAGAAUUAUGCCCCUCCCACCCACCGUUCUAUGUCUAGCAAUGUCCCACACAUACUGAUACUCACUAAAAGCUUAUGAGGUUGAAUGUUCCUCUACCAGUCAAGCUCCUAGUAAUCACUGGACAUACAACAUGCCAGAUGACACCUAUGUUUGAACCACUGGAGUCUGGAGGAAAUACAUGGAGAAUCGCUGCAGAGUGGUAGUUCCCAUGAGGCAAGUGAUAGCAGAAAAAAACACGCUUGUCUCAGUAGAAAAGAAAGGUAGGGAAUGUUAGAGAGUAGAAGAGGGGAGAGAGAGAGAGAGAGAGAGAGAGAGAGAGAGAGAGAGAGAGAGAGAACGAAAGCAGAGUCUGUUCUGAAUGACUUUGUCCCAACU